rnacentral:lncRNA from 1 species
AAGCUUUUGCAAGCACAAAGUCUCCGGUUGUCAUUCCAGGGCUGCUGUGCCAUAGCUACAUUUAGAAAGUUGCAGGAGAAAAUAAACUGAUUAACAAGCAGCGAAACCUGCAAAUUAUGCCUCACUUAGGCUUAGAUUCAAGAAAACCCAGACCAAGCUUGGGAUUCUAAGAGUCUCUCCGUGCAAGCUGACCUCAUGGAGAAAGUGGCAGAGCUUGUCCCUUCCACUGGGAGACCCUGGAGUUCAUUCAGGAGACUGGAUGCCCCUGGGCUCGGGCUGCACUGUGGACCCCACUGUGGAAUCACCACUCCCAGGCUGACCUCAGGCAGGUUCCAGAUCUGUUCUCCACUUCUGCAACAAAACUUACCCGGGCCAUGGUUUUAUGCAGAAAUCUGACAAGGCAGGUCCAUCAAGAGGUUUCCAGAAGAAGGCAUCGCUAUCACAGGAGAUGGCAGCUCCAUGCCUGUUACUGCCCCUGAAGAUGUUCCAGUGGGACAGGGUGUGGAGGUGGAAGACAGCAACAGUGACGAUCCUGACCCUAAAUUGACCAGAUUGCUUUGAGGAACUAAGAAGCUGUUAAACCUUUGGAAGAACUGGCCUGAUACGUUGUCUACAUGGUUCUCCUACAAGGUGUAUGAGUCCAUUUUUAUGCUGCUGAUAAAGACAUACCUGCAACUAAGAGGAAAAAGUUGUUUAACUGGACUUACAGUUCCACAUGGCUGGG